UACGUAGGGGGCAAGCGUUGUCCGGAUUUAUUGGGCGUAAAGAGCGUGUAGGCGGUUAGGUAGGUCCGUUGUGAAAACUCGAGGCUCAACCUCGAGACGCCGAUGGAAACCAUCUAACUAGAGUCCGGAAGAGGAGAGUGGAAUUCCUGGUGUAGCGGUGAAAUGCGUAGAUAUCAGGAGGAACACCUGUGGUGUAGACGGCUUUCUGGACCAUAACUGACGCUGAGACACGAAAGCGUGGGUAGCAAACAGG
rnacentral:rRNA from 1 species